rnacentral:lncRNA from 1 species
CUGACUGCCAAGGAGGGCCGGGCUGGCUGCCAAGGUCAACCAGGUGGAGGCCUUCGGGGUUCGGCAAGAGCAGUUCUGUGAGCUGGCGGAGCCUGGCGUCUGCCUGCGUGACGUGGAGGAACCGCAGGCGGCGACCGCGGACAGAAUGUACAGGUUUCUGGGCGAGGAAUGGAGAAUGAGGCGGAGCUGGGCUGCAGGAGACGGAGGCAGAGAGAGACGGCCUGGCGGGAGAUGCAGGGGCCCGCGGCAGGGCCCUGGAAACUCCAGGCGGGAGGAGGGACGUGGUGGCGGGCGGGAGGGCAAGGGCUGGGGCCCGGGCUCAUUCCGCAGAGCCUGCGGGUACAGCAGGCUGAGGGGUCAGCCUGAGCACAGGGAGCUGAAUAGCGAGCCCCGCCCGGCAGGGGAAAUGAAGGGAGGGUGGUGUGAGAGCGUCUGCCAGGGGCAGAAGGACACCGAGGGACGGCAAGCAGAGCCGAGGGAGUGCGCGCUGGCCCCGGAAGAGGGUGCGCUGGGCUGGCUGCUGAGCUACCCUCCGGAGCUGCAGGGGCUCGAGGGGCUGGAAAUGCUGCGGCAGAAACUGGAAGGCCCGUGCCUAGGUUGGCUUAGGAGUAGAGGGGUGCACCCUGGUCAACCCUGCACCUCCGGGGCGCCACGCGCUCGCUGGCGGGAGGGCGGAGGGAGGCGGGAAGGAGACGCUAAGGCGCUGCGAUCCCGGACGCGCAGCCCUCUCUCUAGGCGUGGAGGCUGCUGGAGCCGCCGGGCAGCUUCUCGGCGACUCCACGCGUGAGUGCAAAGAUGCUGCAGGGAGGCAGCGCUCACAAAAGCAGCUCCGCUCACAAAAAUACGGCCACACCGAGCAGACGUCUGCUUUGACACCACUCGACCCUGCCAAAAAGAGCAAUUAAUGGGAUCAGAAGGGCGGGAGGUGGGAGGGAAGGCGGGGAGCGGGCAAUGAGCAGAGCCUGGCUUUCUAUCCCAGGACAGCGUGGUGUUCUCAAGGGAAUUUAGACAAACAUUUCGUCCUAACCUCAACAACAGGUCCUCGUGAGUCCUCAUACAACCUAUCCUUAGGCGGUAACAGGCUGCAGCUGUUGAAGUCUAAUUUCACUCUAUUGAUUGGUACUUUCAAUGGAAUGCUUUCUGAUUAAUUCUGUGCCUUUAGUUUUACCCUGGACAUGUUUCAAGACAAUGUAUUAAUAGGACUCUGGUGUUACGUAUUCAAUCAAUUUAUAGAUGAAACCCAGAAAACUCAAAUAUGGUUAGAAGACUGGAUUAAAUGAUAUUUACUUUGGCAAUAGAGAAAUAAAAGUAUACUGAACUGAUGGAAAUAUUCUAAAACUAUAUUGCAGUGAUGGUUACACAACUCUACAGAUUUACUGACAAUAGGUGAAAUAUGUAGCAUGUUAAAAAUACCAGCUGUUAAAAAUGAAGAAAAAGUCUAUCAGUAAAAAAAUAAAUACGUGUCUAACUGGAAGAAGACAGGAUACAGAGGCAGGGGGGAAAGAGGGUAGGGGGGCUAAGACCCUCAUUCACAUCGUGGUGUGGCAGUUAAUACAGUCUAAGUUUACAGAACAAGAAAUUCAAGUUCAAGCAUAUUGCUUAAAUCUAGUUAACCUAUAGGAAAACUAAGUAUAAUAAUAUAAGCACAGCAAAGUAGAAGGAAGAAGACAAGUAGCCUUAAUCAGCUAAACCUUCCUCUUUUAUAAUGGAAAGCCACUGCAAAAGAAAUCGAGGUUGAUAAAUACAGAAGCUCGGUAAGUGUAUUAUUACUUAAAAUUUUGAAUUUUGAAAGGAACUCCCCAAAAAUCUAAAAAUGCUUCUUGUUAAAAAAAAUUUCUUUUUGGGAUAGGAUCUCUCUCUGUCACCCAGGCUGGAGUGGAAUGGUGUGAUCAUAGCACACUACAGCCUCUCUAACUCCUGGGCUCAAGCGAUCCUCACGUCUCAGCCUCCUGAGUAACUGUGACUACAGGUGGGUGCCAGCACACCCAGCUGAUUUUUUUAUAGAGAAGAGGUCGCGCUGUGUUGCCCAGGCUGGUCUCAAACUCCUGGCCUCAAACAGUCCUCCCACUUCAGCUCCUAAAGUGUUGGGACCACAGGCAUGAGCCACAUGCCAGCCUAAAUUUUGCCUUUAAAAAUUGUCCCAUGAAUUCCUGGAUUGGCAUAACAGUUGGUAUUGUCUUGAUAGAAGAGCUGUUGAAAUAAUCUAUCACCUUCACACUGCCCGGCAUGUGCACACACAUGCAUGUCUGCGCAUGUCCGUAUGUGUGCACAUCACAUGAAGGUGCAAGUGUGUGCAAAUGUGCAAGUGUUUGUGUGUGCUUGUCUGUGUCCAUGUGUGUCCAUGUGUAUGUGUGUAGGUAUGUUUUAAGAGACCUGUAAAAUCAAAAGAAAACUAGCCUGAAGGUAAAAUUACAAAAAAUCCCCACAUAUUUACAGUGAUCGGUGACAUAGUCUUUCUUUUCUUGAAUAAAUAUUAAAAUUUGAUUAUCUCCAUGUAAGACAUGCGUGUGCCUGCUUCCCCUUUGCCUUCUGCCAUGACUGAAAGUUUCCUAAGGCCUCCUCAGAAGCCGAGCAGAUGCCAGUAUCAUGCUUCCUCUAAAGCCUGUGGAACCAUGAGCCAAGUAAACCUCUUCUCUUUAUAAAUUACCCAGUUUCAGGUAUUUCUUUAUAGCAAUGUGAGAAUAGACUAAUACAAAGUGUUUGACCAUCUUGAAUUGAUUUUUGUAUAAGGUGAGAGAUGAGGAUCCAGUUUCAUUCUUCUGCAUUUGGCUUGCCAGUUUUCCCAGCACCAUUUAUUGAAUAGAGUGUCCUUUCCUCAAUUUAUGUUUUUGCAUGUUUUGUCAAAUAUCAAUUGGCUGUAUUUGGCUUUAUUUCUGGGUUCUAUAUUCUGUUCCAUUGGUCUACAUGCCUAUUUUUCUUUAUUUUUUAGACAGAGUCUCGCUCUGUCUCCCAGGCUGGAAUGCAAUGGUGCAAUCUCGGCUCACUGCAACCUCUGCCUCCUGGGUUCAAGCGAUUCUCCUGCUUCAGCCUCCCCAGUAGCUGGGAUUACAGGCACCUGCCACCACACCCGGCUAAUUUUUUGUAUUUUUGGUAGAGACGGGGUUUCACCGUGUUAGCCAGGAUGGUCUUGAUUUCCUGACCUUGUGAUCUGCCCACCUCAGCCUCCCAAAGUGCUGGGAUUACAGGCGUGAGCCACUGCGCCUGGCCUACAUGCCUAUUUUUAUACCAGAACCGUGCUGUUUUGGUAACUAUAACCUUGUAGUAUGAUUUGAAGUCAGGUAAUGUGGUGCCUCCAAAUUUGUUCUUCUCACUUAGUAUUGCUUUGACUAUGCAGGCUCUUUUUUCGUUCCAUAUGAAUUUUAGGAUUGUUUUUUCUAGAUGAUCAUGAUAUAUUUUUCUUUUUCUAGAAGAAUGAUGAUAAUAUUUUGGUGGGAAUUGAAUUGAAUCUGUAGAUUGCUUUGGGCAGUAUGGUCAUUUCACAAUAUUGAUUUUUCCCAUCCGUGAGCAGGAGAUGUGUUUCCAUUUGUUUCUGUCAUCUAUGAUUUCUUUCAGCAGUGUUUUGUAGUAUUCCUUGUAGAGAUCUUUCUCCUCCUUGGUUAAGUAUAUUCCUAAGAAUUUUAUUUUUGCAGCUGUUGUAAAAUGGAUUGAGUUCUUAAUCUGAUUUGAUUUUCAGCUUGGUCGUUGUUGGUAUAUAGCAGUACUACUGAUUUGUAUACAUGGGUUCUGUAUCCUGAGACUUUAUUGAAUUUGUUUUUUAGAUCUAGGGGCUUUUGGGAUGAGUCUUUAGGGUUGGCUAAGUAUACAUUCAUCAUUGGCAAAUAGCAAGAGUUUUACUUCCUCUUUUCCAAUUUGGAUGCCUUUCAUUUCUUUCUUUUCUCUGAUUGCUCUGGCCAGGAUUUACAGUACUAUGUUGAAUAGAAGUGGUGAGAGAGGGCAUUCUUGUCUUGUUCCAGUUCUCCAGAGGAAUGCUUUCGACUUUCCCCCAUUCAGUAUGAUGUUGCAUAUGGAUUUGUCAUAUAUGGCUUUUACUACUUUCAUUUGUUUGUUUUUUGAGACGAAGUCUUGCUCUACCAUCCAGGCUGGAGUGAAGUGGCGUGAUCUCAGCUCACUGGAACGUCCACCUCCUAGGUUCAAGUGAUUCUCCUGCCUCAGCCUCCCAAGUGGCUGGGAUUACAGGUACAUACCACCAUGCCCAGCUAAUUUUUGUGUUAUUAGUAGAGACGGGGUUUCACCAUGCUGGCCAGGCUGGUCUCAAACUCCUGACCUCAAGUGAUCUGCCUCCCUCGGCCUCCCAAAGUGCUGGGAUUACAGGCAUGAGCCACCACACCCGGGCAUAUUUUUUACAUUAAUUAGCAGUUCUAUGCAAAUAGAUUAAUUCCCUGGUGAAUUUGUUUCAGACCAAUUGACAACUAUCUGUAAACAUAAUUAAAUUUAAACAUAAGUACUUUAUCUUAUUUUAUAUCUGCACUUUUUGUUUUUUUGAGACAGGGUCUCACUCUGAGAUGGAAUUUCGCUUUUGUUGCCCAGGCUGGAGUGCAAUGGCAUGAUCUUGGCUCACCGCAACAUCCGCCUCCUGAAUUUAAGCAAUUCUUAUGCCUCAGCCUCCCGAGUAGCUGGGAUUACAGGCAUGUGCCACUAUACCUGGCUAAUUUUUGUAUUUUUAGUAGCGAUGGGGUUUCACCAUGUUGGCCAGGCUGGUCUUGAACUCCUGACCUUAAAUGAUCCACCUGCCUCGACCUCUCAAAGUGCUGGGAUUACAGGCAUGAGCCACUGCGCCUGGCCUAUAUGUGCACUUUAGAUUUUACGUUCAAAUGUCUUUAUUUUCUUAUCUAAAGGAUUAAAGGCAAUAGGAAGUAUAUUAGUCCAUUUUUGUAUUGCCAUAAAGAAAUACCUGAGACUGGGUAAUUUAUAAAGAAAAGAGGUCUAAUUGGCUCACAGUUCCGCAGGCUGUAUGGGAAGCAUGGUGGCAUCAGCUUCUGGGAAGGCCUCUGGGGAGGGAACUUACAAUCAUGUUGGAAGGCAAAGGGAGAGCAAGCACUUCACAUGACAGGAGCAGGAGGAAGGCGAGGAGAUGCCACACACUUUUAAACAACCAUAUCUCAUGAGAACUCACUCGCUAUCACAAGAACAGCACCAAGAAGGAAAUCCGCCCCCAUGAUCCAAUCACCUCCCAGCAGGUCCCACCUCCAACAUUGGUGUUUACAAUUCUACAUGAUAUUUCGGCGGGGACACAGAUCCAAACCAUAUCAGGAACCCAGUGGUUUGGUGGUUAGGGAAGAAUACUUGGUGAUGGCAGCUCACUGCAUUUGGCUCUGGCAUCAUUCUGGUUUUUCAUGGGCCGAUCUGCUGAAUUCAGCCUAGGAGCUGAGGCCAACAUCUGAGUCUCUUCAGCAUAUAAGUUUGAAAGAAGUCCUAGCAACUUCAAGCUUAGAACUACGGGUGGCAGCAGCUCCCUCUUGACGUCGAAGCCUCCCAUUCCAGAGAGAGCCAAGGCCCGGAUCAAAAAAAGCCCACAAGCACCGAUGACUGAGCUGCUGACUACCCCAGCAUCUCCAACUCAACCUACUCUUUCUGCCUCUACCCAAAUUUUAAAACUUUUAAACAUGGGUUUAAAAAUGGUAAUGAGUAAAGUUGCAUCCAAGUGUAUCAAAUAAAAUUAAAUAUCCAUAAAUGCUGUAAUAAUUCCUGCUUUGAUGCUGAACUAAAGAAUUUUCUGCUGGGCGUGGUGGCUCAUGCCUGUAAUCCCAGCACUUUGGGAGGCCAAGGCAGGUGGAUCACAAGGUCAGGAGUUCAAGACCUGCCUGGCCAACGUGGUGAAACCCCAUCUCUACUAAAAAUACAAAAAUUAGCUGGGCAUGGUGGCAGGCAUCUGUAGUCCCAGCUACUCAGGAGGCUGAGGCAGGAGAAUCACUUGAACCCGGGAGACAGAGGUUGUAGUGAGCCAAGAUGGCACCACUGCACUCCAUCCUGGGCAACAAGCGAGAUUCCAUCUCAAAAGAAAAGAAAAAAAGAAUUUUCUGUUUAUAUUACAUAUAGUCUCACUUCAUAUUUCAUUUCUCUCACCUCUGAUACCUGGAGUCCUUGGCUAGUACUGAAAUUGAGUAAAGUCAUUCUCAUGAGUUUUAGUAAACUCAAAACUCAAACCUCAUGAAGUUGGCAAAACUCAAAGAAUGCUUUGGUCUAGUUUGACAUUGGCCAGUAUGUUUUUCAUAUCCAGUCAUUCCUUUUUUCCUGGCUGACAUCCUCACUUCCUGCCUGUGGAGGAAAAGUUAAAUAUUAAAUUUGAACUCAAUUGAAUGUGGACACAAACAAUGGUCACCAAGUCCGGGAACAGGUUGUGUGAGUCCCUUGAGGCAUUUAUCCUGCCCUGUUUCGGAGAAAUCUCUAUUUCAAACUAUCCCUAUGUGUUACUUACUGAAAAACAACAGACAAUCGCAAAAACAAGUUGACCUUUUUGUGUUCCUUGAGCCCAGUCACAAAGGGCCCUCAUGACUGGGCCUCAUGCCAAACAACUUGUUACAAAAAGAGCUAGGGUCCCAGACCGCACCAAAGCCCCAUGAGACCUCUCCUCAUCUGUGCACGGACUGGUGGCCGACUCUGGAGCCCAGGCUGUUGCUUCCUGGUCUGGUGAUGAAUCCUCCAUAGUCUGGUGAGUGUAAAUAUAUAUAUACAUAUAUAUCUUUUCCCAUCUCCCCUUCCCAUUGCAAUUUGCUUAUUAUAUCAUUUGCUUAUUAUAUGUGUAUUGCGCUAUACUUGGGAUAAAGGCUGUUUACC